CCUACGGGAGGCAGCAGUGAGGAAUAUUGGUCAAUGGACGAGAGUCUGAACCAGCCAAGUAGCGUGAAGGAUGACUGCCCUCUGGGUUGUAAACUUCUUUUAUAAAGGAAUAAAACGAGGCACGUGUGCCUUUUUGCAUGUACUUUAUGAAUAAGGAUCGGCUAACUCCGUGCCAGCAGCCGCGGUAAUACGGAGGAUCCGAGCGUUAUCCGGAUUUAUUGGGUUUAAAGGGAGCGUAGAUUGGUUGUUAAGUCAGUUGUGAAAGUUUGCGGCUCAACCGUAAAAUUGCAAUUGAUACUGGCAGUCUCGAGUACAGUUGAGGUAGGCGGAAUUCGUGGUGUAGCGGUGAAAUGCUUAGAUAUCACGAAGAACCCCGAUUGCGAAGGCAGCUUACUAAACUGUGACUGACAUUGAUGCUCGAAAGUGUGGGUAUCAAACAGGAUUAGAUACCCGGGUAGUC
rnacentral:rRNA from 1 species